rnacentral:rRNA from 1 species
UUCUUUUAGACCUUAUUAAAAGUACUUCCUGCUCUAUGCAUUGUAAAAAGCCGCAGAUUUUCUCUGUGCUAAGGUAGCACAAUCACUUGCCUUAUAAUUAAAGGAUAGUAUGAAAGGAAAUAUGAGUUUUAAACUUUAUUAAAAAUACAAAUUUAAAUUACUCUAAAAGUAAAAAAGCUUUUACCAAAAGAAAGACGACAAGACCCUAAUAAACUUAACUUAAGUUAAGCUGGGGUGGCUAAAUAAAUAAAUCUUAUUAUCAAAUUUUUAAAAAAUCUUAAUAAAAUUCCAAGUUACUAUAGGGAUAACAGCAUAAUUUUUUUCCAAAGCUCUUAUAAAAAAAAAAGAUUAUGACCUCGAUGUUGAAUUAGAGCCCCUUCAGGGGCAAAUCCCUGAAAAGAUAGUCUGUUCGACUAUUAAAAAUCUACA